rnacentral:lncRNA from 1 species
UUUUUUUUUUUUUUUUUUUGGUCUUUUUUUGUCUUUUUAGGGCCACACCCAUGGCAUACAGAGGUUCCUAGGCUAGGGGUCCAAUUGGAGCUGUAGCCGCUGGCCUACAUCACAGCCAUAGCAACGAUGGAUCUGAGCCAUGUCUGCAACCUAUACCACAGCUCAUGGCAAUGCUAGAUCCUUAACCCACUGAGCAAGGCCAGGGAUCAAACCCACGUCCUCAUGGAUGCUAGUCGGAUUUGCUAACCACUGAGCCACGACAGGAACUCCUGGCGUUAAGAAUCUUAACCAAAGUUGUUCAGCCAAUCAUUGGUGGGGCUGGGCUGUGAGCUUAUGGAGCCAGAGUGGUCCUACAUGUCAUGCCUCCUGUUUCCUAAAAUAGAGAUGGUAUUGGGGGGAAAAUCUUGACUCUGCCUUAAUUUGUGGAAAAAAUCAAUUGUUUGCAUAAUUAAAAGUCAUGUAAGUAACAAGCACAUGACUCACAACUGCUUCUGCCCAUCACUGUGCCAUGACACCAGGACUGGGAACCACUACCAGAGGCUUGUGAGCUCAGAGGGACUGUGUAUGUGGUGUGGACACAUAGGCUCCUCUUCACAUUGGUGCAUGAGGACUGAAACAACCCUCUUCGUCAUCCUCCCAGAGCUACAGAGUUUCUGACCCUCUUCCUAGCAAGGUGAUGGUGGUUCUGGGAAACCACUUUAUAUUUUUGUUUUCAACACAAUUUUUUACUGUUAUGUAGUUGUGGGUUUAAAAUUUAUUUUUUGGGGAAAAAAGUAUGGCCAGUAAAAGAUCUGAAUCAAUCUUCUAAGUGAAGUAGAUGCUGGCUCGAAUGGAUACGGAGAAAAAUUAUAAAUCCAAGCAAUUAAUUAUUAAACACCAAACAGCCAAGGAUAGUACCUGUGGGCAGAGAGGCCCUCUCCUUUGAGGAGGUAAAAAAUAAUUGCAAGCACAGAGUCACUGAGAUGUCACACUGGGAAGCAUGGGGUGCACAGAGCAGUUGUUGUUUUCCGUUGGCUGAGCCACAUUAAAAGAAAGGUGGAGAUCUAAGAAGAAAGUAUUUAAAAAAAACCCCUUGGGGAAUUUCUUUAAUAACUAUGCAUGAAAAGGAAUAAGUGAUAAUGAGAGCCAGGGAGAAAGGCAGUAAAGGAUGUUUACUCUGGGCUGCAGGGAGCUCCAUGAGUCCCAAGGCUUUCAGGCCCUGAAAGAGCACUGGUAUGGCACAUAGUAGGUGCUCAAAAAUUAUUGAAAUAACCAGAAGUCAAUGACUGUAUGGAUGCCUUUCCCCCCUAAGUUUGAGAAAAGAGGAAACUUUAUAAAUAUUAUUGAAAUUGUAUCUGUUAUGGAUGGAGUGCUUAUGAGUGCCGUCCCCACCCCCUGUCACGUUCAUAUGUUGAAGUCCUAACCCCUGCAGUGUGAUGGUAUUUAGAGAUGUGGGCUUUGGGGGGUAAUGAGAUGACAUCACAGGUGUGGGGCCCUGGUCCAAUGGGAUUAGUGCCCUUAUAAGAAGGACACUGGAGAGCGUGGGUUUACUCUCCCUCUCCCUCCUCUCUCUUUCUCUCUCCCUCCCUCAUUCUUCCUCUCCCUCUCCCCCUUUCUCUUCUUCUUCCUCUUCUUCUCCCUCUCCCCAGCUACAAAAGAAGAAGUUAUGUGAGGACAUAGAAAGAAGAGGGCCAUCUGCAAGCCAGGCAAAAAGUCCUUCCCAGAAACCAAAAAGCCUGGCACCUUGGUUUGGGACUUCUCAGCCUCCAGAUCUGUUAGAAAUAAAUAUCUGGUGUUUAAACCACGUGGCUCUGGUAUUUGGUUAUAGCAACCUUAGCAGACUAAGACAGUCCCUAUACCCAUACCCGAGUCCUUAUAUAUCUUCGAAUUGUGUUCUACCUGGGAAUAAUUAUACCAUAGUAUCUACAUUAUACAUUAUAUAUACAUUUAUAUGUAUACAUUAGUAUACAUUAUGUAUACAUUAUAUAUACAUUUAUAUGUAUACAUUAGUCUUUUUAGUGUUUUGUUUUUAAAUAAAUAGUUAACUCUGAAUGUAAAAUAACUUCCCAGUUGAAUGAAUAUCAUACUAUUUUCUAUGACUCAGAAGUCCAUGUCCAAGAAGAAGUUGGUAUUCAAAUUUGGGGCCAUGCAUAUGCACACUGUGAUAUAUGGACAAUUGGCUAAAGGGGAUUUGCUGUAUAGCACAGGGAACUCUACUCAAUAUUCUCUGAUAAUCUGUAUGGGGAAAGAGUCUGAAAAAGAAUGAAUAUGUGUAUGUGUAUAACUGAAUCAGUUGUACAGCAGAAAUGACCACAACACUGUCAACCAACCAUACCUCAAUAAGACUUUAAAAAACGAAGAACAAGAAUACCAGAGGAGUUUCCUGGUGGCAUAGUGACGUAAGAAUCCAGCAUUGUCCCUGCUGUGGCUUGGAUCUCUGCUGCGGUGUGGGUUUGAUCCCUGUUCCCGGGACUUCCACAUCAUGCAGGUGUGGCAAAAAAGGAGGGAAGGAAGGAAGGAAGAAAGAAAAAUAGAGAGAAGGAAGGAGGGAAAGAAAGGAAGGAAGAAAAGACUAGAAAGAGGCGAAAACAAAACAAACUAAAACAUGGGAACAUUACCAGGGGCCUGCCGUCAAUGUGGAGGUACAACAUGUAGGCCUCGUACCAAAGAACUUCUGGUUUCUACAGUAUGGGUAAGGCACAAACCCAUACUUUGCAGCUCACUUUCUCUUGUUUUCUCUCUCUUUCUUUCUUCCUCGUACUGGGCCUCUGGGACACAUAAUAGAUUGAAAAGCAAACAGAGGCCACGUGGCCCCAAGAUGGGGUGUGCUGGCCAUAGGACGGGGCUUCCAUAAUAAGCACUUUUCAGAGGAGGUUCCAGUCCCCAGGGACCUGCUUCCUGAGGUUGAGUUUCUGGGCCGCAGAGCAUCGGCAGACAUAUUUCUCUCUCCCACAGUCCUCCUCGCAGCGAAUACAAAUCAUUUCUGAACGUCAGAUAGAGGAAGUACUAGCAAGUCCCAGCUAUGAGAGGUCUUGCUUCACCUGUGGGAGCAGUCCCUUCCGUGGGAACACACAGCCAAGAGAUGAUAGCUUUUUCCAAACUUUAUCCUAAGGGUUAGUGUCUCCUUGGGAAAAAGGUAUCAUAAUCAAGUAGCUGAAUUCUGGAGACAAGGGUCAAUCUAAUCUCUACUCAUUGACUGUGAUCCUCAGGACCUCCUGAGACUUUCCCCUGUUCUGUCGAAUGGGACUAAGACUUUCCUCCCUACCUGCCUUGGUGAGUUGAUCUCUGAAAUGAAUGAGGCACAUUCAGACAUACAAAAUCCUUCCGUAAGACAUAAUAUUCUACACCAGUGGGGGGCAGACUCUGGUCCACAGGCCAAAUCCAUCCCUCUGCUUGUUUGGUAUGGCCUUCAAGCUAAGAAUGGUUUUUACAUUUUUUUUUUUUUUUUUUUUUAGGGCCACACCUGCAGCAUAUGGAAGUUUCCAGGCUAGGGGUCAAAUUGGAGCUAUAGCUGCCAGCCACAGCCACAGCCACAGCAACGCCAGAUCCAAGCUGAGUCUGUGACCUACACCACAGCUCACAGCAAUGCCAGAUCCUUAACCAACCGAGCAGGGCCAGGGAUAGAACCUGCAUCCUCAUGGAUACUAGUUGGGUUUGUUUCUGCUGAGCCACAAUGAGAACUCCUACAGUUUUAAAUGGCUGAGAAGAAGACUUUAUGACAUGAAAACUGCAUGAGAUCCAUAUUUCAGUGGCCACAUGAAUGAGUGUAAAUGCUCGUGUGCUUAUGCAUUAUGGGUGGCUAAUUUAACACUACCAUGUCAAAGCUGUAUGGCC